CAGAUAGGGAAUGCUGGUGCUUGCUUGAAAAGCAUGCAUUUGUCAAAGAUGAUUCCAAUGCUUAUCCUCAGUUGAAAGCGCUUGGUGAGAAAAUUGCAAAAAAUUGUCGUGGUCUACCCUUAGCAGCAAAAACCAUCGGACGACUGUUAAGUGCAGAAAGAGAUGUUCAGAAGUGGAAGGAAAUAUCGAGCAGCGAUAUAUGGGAUCUAAAGAAUGAAGACAUUAAUUCAGCGCUAAGAUUGAGCUACCAUUAUCUCUCAUCGCUUUCAAAAAGGUGUUUUGCUUAUUGUGCUCUAUUUCCCAAAGGUUAUGAAUUUGGCAAGGAAGAAGUAGUUCUUCUAUGGAUGGCAGAGGGCUUCUUUGUCCAAGCCCAAGGAAAUAACUCAAAGAAGGAGAUGGAAGAAAUAGGUAACGACCAAUUCAAUGAUCUUGUGACAAGAUCUUUUUUCCAACGAUCUAAAGGCAGUAAAUCACACUUUGUUAUGCAUGAUCUCUUCAACGACCUAGCUAAAUUUGUUUCUGGAGAAUUUUGCUCUCGAUUGGAGGGCAACAACUCGAGCAACAUUGUUAAGAGGACCCGU
rnacentral:misc_RNA from 1 species